rnacentral:ncRNA from 1 species
CCUUCAGUGCCAGAGAAAUGAAUCCUCUGAAGGGACUGAAUGCUGUGAACAAAGACAUGUGUAUGGCCUGCCAGUGUGGAAAACUCCUCUGUGGUGAAGUUUCUGUCUAGAGUAAAUGUACACUAUGUUUUCUUAUUUACCUCAUGAUUUUCUCCAAAGCAACUUAUAGUAUUACGUAACCUGCUAUUACUCUUUGGCCAUUUAUACAGCUGGGCAAUUUCACUGGAGCAAUUUCUAACAAAGUACCUUGCUCAAGGUUACUACAGCUGGAGGUGAAAUUCAAACGUUUGACUUUUGGGUCUGUAGCUAACAGCUUGAACCAUGACACUGAUGCCUGCCCCCAAAUUAAUCCUUUGGUUUCUGUAUCUUUUCAAUGUUUAAAUUUGGGUUUCAAGCAGGAGGUGUCAAAGUUACCACAGGGAUUACUAGCUUGCGUCAGCCAAGCAUUCAGUGACGUCGCUUUUUGAUCCUUCGAUGUCAGCUCUUUCUAUCAUUAUGAAGCAGAAUUCACCAAGCGUUGGAUUGUUCACCUGCUAAUAGGGAACGUGAGCUGGGAUUAGAUCGUCAUGAGACAGGUUAGUCUUACCCUACUGAUGA